rnacentral:lncRNA from 1 species
AGGCUGCAUAAACACUUUUUAUGCCAAGGUCAAGCUUUUUUAAAAAAUUACUUAUUCAAUUAAGUGAUAAAAUAUCCAAUUCUUAUUUUUUGUUAAUUUGCACAUUUUUAUGAUCUUUUUUAGGUGUCAGUGUAGAUUUCGGGAGCAAGGCACUGGAAUUGCCAGAGUUGAGGGAUGGUGCUAAGAUUCAUAACCAAGCUGCCCCACUCUCUGCUUCCCCUGAUAUCCAAGUAUGUCACGCCCCGGGGUCUCUUUGUAGUUAAAAACACGGGGGGAUUUUUUUUUUUGAAAAACCUGACCCCAAGGGUAUGCUAGAUCCGCCACAAAUACAGGGAGUCCACUGUUCACACUGACAGAGUCUCCCCUGUAUUUGCACAGCGUCGCACAAAUUCAAGUACAUAACCAUAAUACAACCACUAUACUGAACAUACUACAUCCAACAUCAUAUAUCCAUACACCAUUCACCACAGGUUCACAUUCAUGAUUUGAAUAUAAAAUCACAACUAUUAGUUAUAACGUUUCCAACUCGAAAACUGGUUUUGAAAUACUAAAUAACGAAAAUCAUGAAAAAUCUUUUGAAAGCUGUUUCCCACACAGAAACUCUUUUCUUUUAAAACGCACUACCACGAGGGUAGAAAACCAUUUCCAAUACUUCACAUGAAAACCACGAGUGUUUUAAUUAACUUCUCAAAGCCAUGAGUAUAUAUAUCCAACUGAAAUAAAAUCAUCUGAACCAUGAACCAUCUAAGAUAUAACACAGAAGUAAAGAGAGUAGUAACUAAACCAACAAACCGGGUCGGAAGCUCUAUCUACUGCUACGAACAUGUUUCACAUCUCGUCUCAACCCUCACCGUCCGCAAUAACUGAAAAAUGGUGGGGGAGGUGAGAACAUGUAAACAUGUCUCCCCUCCCAGUGGGUACCGCAAGCCGACGAAGGCGAGAAGUACUCACCGGAUCAGAAAGAGAUAAACAAAGUCAUGAGCAGAUAUACUAAAUACAGUAGCAACGAUAAUACAUGAACAGAAUGUAUAAGAACAACUAACGCUACUGUAAGGAAGAAUUAAAUACAUACAUGGAUAUCAACUAUAGUAGCAAGACAACUGUAAAGAAAGAACUGUAAGUAUGCAUGCAACAACCGCUACUAUAGUCAUAUGCGUCAACUAGACGAUAAGUCCAAAUAUACCCAAUCUAAAAGCUGCCCAUCGGUCCGUAGACCUCAGGCCUGUGCCACAACUGCUCAACCUAUACGUGACCCUCGUAUAAAGCACCCGGGUUCGAAAGGUAUAUGACCCUCGCAUAAAGCACCUAGGUCUGAAAGUAUAUAACCCUCGUAUAAAGCACCCCAGUUCACGAGUUGGCACCUCCAACCACUUUUUCGAAAAAGAAGACCCUCUUGCGAUGGCCAAACCGCUGGUGUUCGUGAAAUGCGUACGAGCAGUGGCGAUCGAUGCUAAUAAGCUCAAUAGUCAACCGUCGGCAACUAGCCUGUAACACACUGGACCUUUGCAAUUGGCAAGGUUCGAGUGUUGAGUUGAGUGCUGAACUUUUCCAGAUAUUCUGGAGGGUCGUGGACCUUGUUCCGACCUAUGGUUCAUAUCCCGAGAAAUAUAGUAUUUUAUGUAGUGCUAAGCCCACCAAAGAGUUGGACUUAGGCAACCCUCGGAUUGCAUUCUUCACAUGGUGAAACCGGUGACAGGUUGAUGGCUGUACCGGUACAUGUUGAUGGCUGUACUGGUAUAUGUUGAUGGUUGUACCGGUACACUUCAUUUGUACCAGUACAUAGGGACAUUCUCAGCCAACUCGAGGCUCGGGUUUGCAUUUUCGCAGGAUUUGUACCGGUACAAAUGCCCGUGUACCGGUACACUUUGCCAAACUGCGAGCAGUUUGAACUGCAGGGGUGUUUUUGCUAUUGUAGCAACUCUAUAAUACCACCCACACCCCUUUGCUUGUCUCCUGAGCUGGGAAACACAGGGAGAUCAAGGUAAGAGAGCUUCUCUCCUCCCCUCUUUGAUUUUUGAUCCCCUUUUGUGUGUUUUUGGUGGCUAAACUUCUCUUUUUGGCUUCUUGGUGCAUUUUCACCAUUGGAGGAAUUUGGGAGCUUGGCUAGGAGCUCGGUAGAGGAUGGAUCUUGAACCCUAGUUGACUCCUAGCCUAGUUGGAAGCUUAAAAAGAGGUUUGUAACAUGAUUCUCUCAUUAGAUUCAUGUUUUGCAUGAUUUUGGUUAUGAAACCCUAGAAAUGAGGAUUUAGGAUUUGAUUUGGGGAUUUUUGAUCUAGGGCUUUUGGAGCUCAAUUGAUCGGUUUAGAACCUUCCUUUGUGUUAGAUUGGAAGGGUUCUAGCUCUCAUUUGGAGCUUUAGAGGGGUUUUUUACACUUAGGUGAGAUUUUGCCCUUAUCUUGAGUUUGUUAAUGUUUGAGUCUUUGGUUGUUCGUUUCAUUUGGGUGACCCUCUUUUUGGUGCUUCUAGGGUACUAGGAGGCUAGUGGGCACCUCCGUUUGGCGAAACGAAGGUUUCGAUUUUGGUGGAUUUGGCCUCACCAAAAUGAGAUAAACUUCUCAUAUUAUGAUUUUUAUUUAUCGUAAAGUGAAAAUGCAUGCAUAUUCAUACUAAAUAGAAUAUUUGAGAAUUUUAGAAUGCUUAAAAUGCACAUGUUAUAUACGAUGCAUAUUUGACCUCUAUAUAGUAGAGAGUUUUCAUGUUGGGCUAGGGGCCUAUGAUUAGCAUUCUUACAUUUGAUUGAGAUCAUGUUGCAUAUGGUGCAUAUGGCAUAUAGAUUACACUCUUUGACCUAGAACGCAUGCUUGACAUGGUUGGACAUAUCGUUAUUAAGUGACAUAGGCUAGAGUGUAUACAAAUAGUAAGCUAAUGUCAUAAAGCGGCAUUUGGCUUGGACUAGAUAUGGACUUAGCAAGCUAAUGUCAUAAAGCGGCAUUAGACUUGGACUAGAUAUGGACUUAGCAAGCUAAUGUCAUAAAGCGGCAUUAGACUUGAUGGAUAUGUGAAUUGCAUGUGCAUGUUAUUAUUAUGAGAAUUAUACUAAGUUGAAAGUUGCAUUGGAAGGAAUAUGCAUGUAGCAAUAUGAGAACACGCUAGAGAGCAUGUGUAUUAACCUAUUAUUGAUAGAACAAGCUAAUGUCAUAAAGAGGCAUAGAAUGUGAAACGUGCUUAGAAUAUAGCAAUAUUUAAGUGCCAUAAAGAGGCACUAAACAUAAUAAAUGUUGAAACUUCACCUUGAGAUUUGUACUUAGUAAAGCUAAGGUCUUUGACAUAGAAAUUAUUGAAUGGUUAAAUCUUCACAUUGAGACAAAGUACUAGACCUUUGGGUUGCUAGUGACUGUUACCAUGUUGGAGACAUGAUGAUUGGGUACUUGAGACGAUGACCAUACUUGCUUGCCAUUUGUGCUCAUUCACACAUGCUUGUGAGGGUCGCUCCCCACAAGCCGGCACUCCGGAGUUAGCCUACGCGACUUAUGUUCGCUCGUGCGGUAUCGAGUAGCCUACGGUGCCUGGAGGGUCAGACUCAUUCCUAGAGUGGGAAUGCUGGAGCUACCACUGGCACUUAGGCGGCACAAGCCAGACCACAACUGUGUAGGUCCUAAAUGAGAUUGAACCAGAAUAUUAAACAACAAUUUGAUAAUCACUACUAGACAGGUUAUAGUAGUUGGAUUCCUUGACAUGCUAUGGCAUAGGAUUGGACAUUGAGUUACAUAGUAUACUUGACAGUAUUGCUUAUUGCAUUAUAGUAUACUUGGUUGCCAUGAUAGUACAUACUAGAUAUGUAUUGAAUUUUGGGACAUAUUGUAUACUUGAUAGUAUUACUUGUUGCAUCACAGCUUACUUGGUAGCCAUGAUAGAGCAAACUUGUUAUGUAUCGGCAUAUUGGAUUCAUGAUAGAGUAAAUGUACUCCAUGUUGUCAUUCUACAUACUUGUGGCAUAGUAGUGUGGCAUUUUAUCAUUAUGCUUUAUUUACCGCUGUUAAUUUCUAUUAACCUUAUCUGCUCUCUUUUGGGCCUAGUGGUGCAGUUGGUGCAGGUCAGUAAUUGCCCACUGGGAACUAUAAAUUAUAGUUCUCAUGCCCCCUGUUUUAUGUUUUCUUUUAAAGCCUUCCACUUCGGGAGGCACUCGGGAUCGCGGGAAAGGUUUCGCCUCGAGCUAGCUAUCGAGGGAUUUGGCGAUAGGUGGUCCACCUCUCUUUUGUUUUCUUUUGGAGAGAUUGUGAGAGUUUUGUACCUUAUUAUAGAGAUCGCCCUACUGUUGUAUCUUGAGAUUUAUGAUAUAUUAGUUUCUUUAUGUUCUAGUGGUUUAGUCUCUUUUCUUUCCGUUUUAUUUUCACUUGUUGAUAGAACUUAGCUGUAUACUUGCUCUGAUAUCGUUAGUCAUUGUUUAUUUUUAUCUUUCAUAUCUCUUUGUUGUAGACGCCUUAUAUGUGCAGGCAUAUGGCGGGUCUGGACACGCACUCGGCAGGGCCUAUGCCGGGUCCCGGGGCGUGACAUAGCCAACAAUCACUGCCCCUCAGGGCAUACUGACCAAUAGGUCAUCGAACUGUAAUAAACACAAGUACCGACCGCUCAGGUCAACUAGGAUGGAACCACUCAACAUCCUAUCGAAGAUAUGCAAGUAUAAUCCAGAUGUAACGAACUGACCGUCUAGGUCCUAACCAAGCAUCGACAACUAGUCGGCAAUCCAACCCCUCAGGUAAACUGACUCCGUAGGUUACCAAGUAAUCCAACUGACCACAUAUAUCACAACAAUGGAUGUGAAGUACGAGAACCGACCAACCAGGUCACAUAUGUGAAAUACGAGAAUCGACCAACUAGGUCACAGAUGUCAUAUGCAGACAAAUCUACUCUACUCCUAAACAUGGAAACAACUGAGUAGAUUAUAACGGAAACAACAUAGGCGCAAGGCUCAAUAAAUACUAUGCAAUAGUAACAAUAGGAGAGCAAGGAUAAGAAACCAUCACCGAGAGUGCACCACUGUACCGACUUCAGAUCGAAGUACCGACUUGUACGAAUGUCGCACCUGUAUCCUGACCGCGGAAGAAACUCACCCGGACCUAAGGAAGGUCCACCGGAUUAGUGUCUAACCCACAACUAAUAACCAUAGUAUCACAACACCACAAACAAUCCCACGUGGAUCGGUUUCUCGAAAUCAAUUACCGUAACUUGCCGGAAGUCCCGAAAAUCGCAACAGGACUCCGCCGGGACCCACGGACUGUCCUGGAACUCACCGACUCAAACUACGAGUCACCUGCUGCCACAAAACACAUCAAAUUGGAUGUCUUGGCAGCAACAAUACUCACAUCGAAACGAUUAUCGUCGAACAAUCGUUCCGAGCCGGGCUCCUGGAAGUGUCAAUUUCGACAUCGGAACCCACCGUCACUCACCCGCCAUUUUCGAACCCUCGAAAUGACGCGAGUGACCAACCAACAAGGCUCGGCGACUAAACAAUCCACCACGAAGCACCGUCGGAAGAAUUCCAAACCAAACACACAUUCUGUCCGUGGAUUUUGCCGAAAAACGCACCGAAAAUUAAUUUUCGAUCUUCGCGAGGGCCUGGGGCCUUGGACAAUUAGUCCAGAGGUUACCCAUAGCUCGCACAUGCUGCCAACAGCAGCAACAAUAACCUUAAUUGCAUAAAAGCCCUCCCGAUUCCAUGAAUCGCAUUAUUUCAUGCGAUUUUCGGGGUUUUAUGGCCCGACAACGCAAACUGAAGAUCAUUUAGUCAAGCCGAGACACCCGUUGAUAGGUCUCAGCGUGCCGGAGGCCACGCUCACCUUUCGGAGCACUGCCAACCACUGUGGAAGGCGCACGAGCGACGCAAACAUUAGCAAAACAGCGCGCACAGCGUCUAAAUCGUGUCUAUCACGCAAACCGGGGCAUCGUUGACCCCAACGGAGGUGAACACGAUGCUCAGCACGAACCAGCGAUGAUCAUGCUCACUUUCACAGUCAUCGGGGUGCCCUCGGAUCACCAAAAAGGUGACCGAAUCACUGAACAGUGCGCAGGAACCUAAAAUAUUGCUUACCGGACCGGUGGAGACCGAGGGUGGUCGCCGGCGGCCGGACGGCGGGUGUUCCGGUCGGGGAUGGGUGCGGCCGAUCGGAGGGGUCUGGCGCAGAUGCUGGCCGGCGGUAGCCGGUGGUACGGAGGAGGAGAUCGAACCUGCAAGCUGCUCUCGGGUUCAUGGGUUCCCGGCGGCAAGGCGGCGGCCGGAGGAGCUCGGGGUGACAGCAUGUCACGCCCGGGGACCGGCGGAGGCCCUCCUGGUAGCACGCCGAGACCCACCAUAUAUCUACACAUAUAAGGCGUCUACAAUAACAGCGAAAAUAAAGCAAGAAAUAUAACAGAUAGGAAUGAAUAACAACUAAUGAUAUCAGAGCAAAUAUGAUUCUAUCUUCUAUAACAAGAGUAAAAGAACAUAACUAAAUAAUAAAAGUAAAACAUAAAGUGAUAUAAUAUCCAACUCCGCAAUACACAAAAUGGGGUGGUCUCUACAAAGGUACAACUCUCAACCUCUCACAAAAAAAAAACCACGAGAGAUAGACCACCUAUCAAACGAUCCCUCGGCAACGAACGCUAGCCCGAGGCGAUACUCUUCCCGCGGUGCCUAGCCUCACCCGGCGUGGAAGGCUCUGAAAAAUAUCGAGAAAAAGAGGGCGUGAGAACUAUAAUUUAUAGUUCCCAGUGGGCAAUUACUGACCUCAGCUCAAUGCACCGCUAGGCCCUAAAAGAAAAGGGUAAGUCCAAAAGGCAACAAUAAUAAUAAAUAGAUUGCAUUUAGUAAAAGCAUAAAUAAAGUGCUAAACUACUAUGUCUCAAGUAAACAUGAUGUCAAUGUGAUGUACAUCUACUUUAUCAUAAGGAAAAUAUGUCCAAUGGCAACAAGUAAAUAUCAUGAUCCAUUCAUCAAUACAUGAUGCGUAUGCUUUAUCAUGGCAACCAAGUAUACUAUGAUGCAACAAGUAGACUAUCAAGUAUACUACAUGUCUCAACACUAUGCUAUAAGCAUGUCAAAGUACAUCCAACUACUAUACCUAUCUAGUAGUGAUUAUCAAUCCCCGGUUCAAUGUCAUUGUUUAAUCAUAUUUUGGGACCUACAUAUUUGUAGUCCAGCUUGUGCCGCCUAAGUGUCGGUGGUAGUUCCAGCAUUCCCACUCUAGGAAUGAGUCUAUCCCUCCCGACCCCGUAGGUUUCUCGAUACCGCACAUGCGAGUAUAAGUCGCGUAGGCUAACUCCGGAGUGCCAGCUUGUAGGGAGCGACCCUCACAAGCAUGUGCGAAUGAGCACAAAUGGCAAGCAAGCAUAGUCAAUGUCUCAGGUACUCAAUCCUCAUGUCUCUAACAUGGUCAAGCCACUAGUAUCCCGAAGAUCUAGUUCAAUGUUUCAAAUUGAAGUUCCAACAUACGCUAAGUUUAGUGCCUCUUUAUGACACUUAAACAUUGUUAUAUUCCAAACAUAUUUCACAUUCUAUGCCUCUUUAUGGCACUAAUUCGAGGUUCACUCAUGACCUGAGCUCAAUGCCGCUUUAUGGCAUUAGCUCCAUGAUUCACAUAAUAUUCUAGUCCGGUGCCUCUUUAUGGCAUUUUAGCUAUCUUUCAUGUCUUAAUUAAACAUAGGUUUAAAUGCACGAAUCAAAGCUCAUUUUCACUCUAAGGAACAUGGUCCAAUAUAAGAAUGCUAAACUCAAACAUAAGCUUCACAUGCAACUCUCUACUACAUAGAGGUCCAAAAAUGCAUUAUAUGUAAUAUAGGCAUUUUAAGCAUUCUUAAAUUUAUAAUAAAUACAUUUAGCAUGAAUAUGCAUGAUUUUUCAAUUUACGGUACUCAAAUUAUCACAAAUGAGAAUUUCUCAUUGUGUGGCUAGGUCAAACCCACCAAAAUCGAACCCUUCGUUUCGCUGAACGGAGGUGCCCACUAGCCUCCUAGUACCCUAGAAGCAUCAAAAACAGGGUUACCCAAACGAAACGAGCAACGAAUUGCUCUAACAUUAACCAUCUCAAGCCAAGGUUGAGGAAAACUCACCCCAAGUGAAGAACCCUCUCUUAAUCUCCAAAUGGGAGUAAGAGUCCUUCCAAACCAACCUACGCAAAGGUUCUAAACCCAUCAAUUGGGUCCCAAAGCCCUCAAAUCAAAAAUCCUCAAAAUAAAUCCUAAAUCCCAAAAUCUAGGGUUUUUACCAACAAAAGCUUCAAAACUAGAAUCUAGAGGAAGGAAAUCAUCAACUAACCUCUAGGAUGCUCCAAUCCAAGCUCAAAAUCCUCUAGAGUUGAAGAUUGGUCCACCACCAAGCUCUAAACGCAAGCUCCAAGCCUCCAAAGGGUGAGAAAGAGAGAAGGGUUGAAGCUUCAAGGCCUCCAAGCUGCAUCUCCUUCUUCUCUUCUUCUUCUUCUCCUCCUCCUUCUUCUUCUUCUUUUUCUCUUUCUAGAGGUAUGAGAGAGUGAGAAGUGAGGGAGAAAGAAAGGGGAAAGGCCCUCUUAAGCCUCUAAUGUAACAAAAUCUAGAUAAGUCCAUCAAGAAAGCAAUUCUGCACACUGCCCCAGCCUGGGCAGUUUCGCACUGGGGGGGCCGGUCUCCCCGACCCCAGGGACCGGUCUCCCAGUCAAAACUCGAAAAACCAACGUACGGGAACCGGUCCCUCCAGCCCAGGGACCAGUCCCUCCGGACCUUCCCGCAAAAAUCCAGAUAAGUCCCUCAAGAAAGCAAUUCUGCACACUGCCCCAGCAUGGGCAGUUUCGCACUGGGGGGACCGAUCUCCCCGACCCCAGGGACCGGUCUCCCAGUCAAAACCCGAAAAACCAACGUACGAGAACCGGUCCCUCCAGCCCGGGGACCGGUCCCUCCGGACCUUCCCGCAAAAAGGACCUACGGGAAUCGGUCUCCCCACCCGGGGACCGGUUGCAUUGCCAUGGGGGACCGAUCUCCCCAGCCAGGGACCGGUCCCCGAGAGUGAAAACUCUCAGGUCAGUCCAGAGCUCGGAUUUUCGAACUUUUAGGUUGGAAUACCAUCUACAAUCUUCCACUAAGUGUGGAAAAAGCUCGGAACCCAAGUCAAACACUUGGACCUCGCAAAUUGCACAGGUCCAGUGUGUUACACAACGAUCAGUUGCCGGAGGCUGAGGGGAAGGCGAUGCGCCCCGCAGUGUGCGACGACAGCGCGCGGUGGCCGCGUUGGCUCAACCUCGACCCCCACCAAUCCUGGGCGGUCGCAGGAUGCACGAACGGCGGCCGACGGCGAGCUGGGACAACAGGGAGGUGCGCCGGAGAUCGCCAGGGGCCGAAGGAAGUCUGGGCAGCCGAUCUCGGGCUGUCCCAACCAGCGGUUCAUGAGCUGGAGUCAUCUCUACCUGGGCUGACCAAGGAUGGUCGCAGCUUGCACCGGCGCGGUGACGGCGGCUCCGGUGGCGCGCGGUGACGGCGGGGGCCGGCAAGGGUGGUGCCGGAGUGUUCAAGGAGGACGAUGCUCACGAUCCUGAGCGACGGCGUCACGAGGAGAAAGUGAUCUCUUGAACUUGGCCAGACACGAUCCAGUUUGGCCGCGGCUUGCCAAGACGACGGCGGCGGCGCUCGGGGGGUGGCCGGGACCGGCUAAAGAUGAUGCCGGAGGUGAGUCACGGCCGAGGGGUGACAGAUCCAACGGUUCGGAGGCUUCUCAUGGUUCCACGGCCAAGAAUGAGGCAAUAUGGAGGGGGAGAGAGAGAAGAGGGAAGUCGGGGACAGUUUUCCGGCCGCUGGAGCAGCCUGCCGGGGGCCGAGGCACACACACGGGUUGAGCAGGAAGAAGCUGAGGCAGCUAGGAGGACUAGGGUUAGCUGGGUGCGACUAGGGUUAAGAUUCCAUGGAUGACAUCCUAAUUCCAAUAUAUAUAUAUGCAUACGAACAAUUACAGAGAAGUCCACCCCUAUCUACUAUUUUUAGCUGGGUCCCUGUCCAUACAUGUAAUAUACACCUAGGCCCUUCGACGUUCGAAAUCCUGCGAAACGGCACAGAAAAUAUGGGACCUUUCGCAAAUUUUCCGAUUGUGCCAAAUUGACCUCUCAGCGAUCAUUUCGCAAUUCCCGAAGAUCUGUCCGUCGAAUUUUCGAACGGAUCACGCUAGAGCGUUCAGCACGGCUGGGACAUCGAAUCUAGCAUCUUGUUUCAUCCGAUAUGGUCUCUGAUUCAUGACGGAACCACCCCUCUUUUUUCCACCACAUAACCACCUAUAUUAAUAUAUGUGAAAUCAAUCAAACCACCCAUUUUUCUCGACAACCGAGCAUCAGAACCCAAUUCCGUCAGUGCCAUUGGGUUCAGAAUAGUUGAGCCGUUCGAAACGAGCUAUUGGAGUCCUAUGUUCAGAGUCCAAUACGCACCAGAACCCUUCUCUACUCACUGGCUCAUCCGAAAAGCCGAAGUUACUAUUCACUUUAAGUCAUCGGUUCUGGUCACGUAACUUCUCCAUCUUAUCUCAUUUUCUCUUGAAACUUGACGAGUGCUUAUGUAAUUAAAUUACACACAAAAAUAUUGUCAACAAAGAGCUUAGCUGCACUGUCAAAAUCUCAGUCCUUACAUGAAUUGGGUUCAGAAUAGUCGAGCCGUUCGAAACGAGCUAUUGUAGUCCUAUGUUCGGAGUCCAAUACGCACCAGAACCCUUCUCUACUCACUGGCUCAUCCGAAAAGCCGGAGUUACUAUUCACUUUAAGUCAUCGGUCCUGGUCGCAUAACUUUUCCAUAUUAACUCAUUUUCUCCUGAAACUUGACGAGUGCUUAUGUAAUUAAAUUACACAGAAAAACAUCGUCAACAGAGAGCUUAGCUGCACUGCCAAAAUCUCAGUCCUUACAAGGUACGUUUUGAAAAUAUAAUUUGACUUAAAUCCCUUCUGAAAUAUAAAUUUAAAAUUUAUUUGCGUUUAUGAUGAAUUUAAUUUAAGAUAGGUUGCUUUUUUUUAUGUGUACAGGAGAUAGGAUUUGGUAAUUACUUAUUAGUGUAUGCCUGAAAUAAUUGGGUAUGAUCUCUAAAUAGAAUCAAGAUAUUAUUUUUUUAAUGCUUAAUUUGAAACAACAUUUAUAAUUAUUUUAACUUUUUGUUUCCAAAUAUUUUUUGUUGCUAAAUUAUUGAUGAAAAAUUUACAGUGUUGUUAAUCCAGGGAUCAUUUUCUUUGAAAGAUAUACCAAUGAAUGGGCCUUCCAAGAUCAAUUGGUGAGGAGUUUUCAGUGAGAGAAUUAAUUUCAGAAAAGCCCCAAGCAUACUUCUAUUUCUUUUCUUCUUUGCAUAUCUUAUUUUUAAUGUUUACAUUAUGUUUCAGUUUUGGUAGUAUUUUUUAUCUAAUUUUGAAGUAAUAUAUGUAUGUUUUGAUUGUGAAGAGUAUAAGAAGUAAUGCAUUUGAGCAGUUGCCCUUUCAAAUAAUGAUAAUAUUGUUAAAUGAUUAGUUCAAAUAUAAAGAGAAAUAGUGCUUCUUUGUGAAACACCUUUUUUUUACAAAAUUAAAUCAUCUUGACAUAGUUUAGUGAUUUAUGCAUCGACUAAAGGGAGUACAAGAAUUAUUUUAUGUAUUUGAGAGAUUGUCUUUGGGAAAGCAAAAUACUGUGUGGUGAUUAGUUUAGGGACAAGAAUAAAAACUUCUUCUUUCGGAAGCACCAUAUAAAUAAAGGUAAACUUCUAAUAUAGAGGUGUAGCUUAUCUUAUUAGAAACCUAUGCUAUACUAGUAUAGAACCCGCGCUUCGCUGCGGUUAACAUUUAUAUACUCUGAAUAAUUUAAAAUUUUUUUAAAAUUUCACCACGACCCCUGCAAAAGUCAUUUUUUUAAAAUUUUUUUAAUUUGUUUUUUUAGGGUAUAUGAGAUGUUCACAGUAAUCACUCUAAGAUUCCUCAACAGCGAGAUGAGGUUGAGGCGAACGACCCCCGCUGAUGCUCAAAUGCCUCGAUGUAUUAUGUUUUUAAUUUUUUUAAUUUAUUUGUUUUAAUUAUAGGGAAUGGGUUUAGGGACGAUCGGAGGGGGGUUAGAGUUUGGGGAGUGAGCGGGCUUGCAGGAUCGCGAUCGGCGGCUAGGGCUCCGGCGAUCCACGGGGGCGGCGUCGUCGGCGGCCUCAGGGGUGGCGUCGUCUGCGACCGCGGGGGCGGGAUCGGGAAGAGGGGGCCAUGGCCGUCACGGGGAUCUCCGCCGGUGGCAAAGGAGAGACGAAGGGGCCGAGGGAGAGGGCGCCCCAGGCGAGGAGGGAAGCGGGGGCGGAGUGGGAGUAGCGGAGGAGCUAGGCGGAGAGGAGGUUAUUGCCUCUCCCCCCCUUCCUCUCCUCCUUCUCCUCCUCCGCCGCCGCCGCCUCCGCCCUCUUCGUCGAGCCCAAGCUCCGGCCCCUUCCCCUCUCCCCCCUUCCCGCCUCGCCCAGCCUCGCCUACCUCAUCUCCGGCUUUUCCGGCGACGGCGGUGCGCUCCUCUACCACCCCCGCAACCGCUACGUCGUCCACCUCGACCUCGACUCCCCCGCCGCCAAGCGCGACGAGCUCCGCGACCGCCUCGCGCGCCACCCUGUCCUCGCCGCCGGCCGCAACGUCAAGAUGAUCUUCAAGGCCAACCUCGUCACCUACCGCGGCCCCACCAUGGUCGCCAACACCCUCCACGCCGCAAUCGUGUUGCUCCGCGACACCCCCGAUUGGGACUGGUUCAUCAAUCUCAGCGUCAUUUUAGGCUAAGAUAGAGAGGAGAGAGGGGAGGGAGAGAGAGAGAGAAAGAUGGGGGGCCUGAGAGAAAAGAGAGGGGCCCACCUUAAGAGAGAGAGAGAGAGAGAGAGAGAGAUGAGGGAGGGGUUAUCUGUAGAAGGCAAAGAGAGUGCUAGUUGGCAAUAUCUUGGUCCAAGUCCAACCUUGGGAAGGAGCCAGGAAUAUUCAAGAAUAUCUUGGAAACAGAAAAAAAAAUUUUGGGAAGGAACAAGGAGCUGUCUUGGUCCAAGCUGAUCUGCCAUUAGAAAGGAGCAAAGAAGCUAAAAGAAGAAAUUCCAGAAAAGACAAAUGUGACGUGGAGGCAUAAAAUUUUGCCACGUCACCUAUCACAACCAUCAAAUUAUGUAUUUGUAUGGAUACUUAUGUUUCACACCGUUGAAUGAUUGACAUGCUGAUUAGCCUUUUGACAAAUGCUUAGAUAUAUUUGAUCCCUUAUUUAUGUAGGUUGUAUUAGAUCAUAUGUUUCCAUUCAUGCAACUGAUUAUGUUUUGAUAUGCACUCAUAUCUACUCUUUCCUCAAAUGGACAAAUAUCUGAUGCUAAUCAUAUAUGAUGAAAUGAAACAAGUAAAUUCAAUAUUGAUCCCUAAGCUAUCAUAAGCUAUCUAUAAUUAUUUAUGUAACAUAUAUAGUGCAUUGUACCUUCUAAAUUUUUAUACUCUUUUUUAAAAAAAUAUAUAGCGCAACUUGGUAGGCAAUGAAAGUUUUAUUUGUUAGAGUAUUCCAAAAUGUAUAGUACAAUUUAGCCCCCAAACUUUAAUGCCAUUUUUUCUUCAAAAAUUCGUUUGUUAAGAUAUUAAUAUAAAAAAAAGAACAUACCCAAGGUGAAGUCGAGCCAGAUUAGUUUUUUUAUCGCAUUCUCUUUGAAUUCUUCUUUUCUUUACUCCCUAAUUUGCGAAAAAUUUCAAUUUAGGUGCAUGUAGGGUUUUUAUAGUAUUCUAAUUUGAUUUGGAAGUACUGGAUGUGAGUAUUUAAAUAUUCGAUUGUGAUACUUCUAUAUAUUCUGUUAUUGAUGCUAAACCAUAUUUGUUGCAAUUCGGCCUCCUAAAUGGAACACUUACUCUGAAGUUGAACUAUAACGUAUCGAAACCCCGAUAGCGAUUAUCGAACUUUAGCCAAAAUGAAUUAAAGUGCCGAGAGAAAUGGAUCGACAAGUUCCCUUUAGCAUUCCAGCAAGGUUGGAAGGGCUAAAAAUGAGUUUAGGAGGUGUUAGAAAGGUUUUAGUAUCGAUCGGCGCGAAAUAGAAUCGAAACGAUGCAAAACUGCAGUUCUGGGCAAAGUGUACCGAUACAACCAUCAAGGUGUACCGGUACAACAUUGCAGACCGAGAGGAGGAGCUCUCGAGUUUGAGAAAAAUUGGAAGCGUACCGGUACAUUUUGAAAAUGUACCGGUACAAAUGCUACGAAACUGAGAAUCUUGCUCUCGGGUUGCCUCUGCGCAGAAAAUGUACCGAUACAAAAAUCCGUGUACCGGUACACUUUGGUCUGGCAGCAACAUUGAAGACUGUUACAAAAUAGAAGAAAUGGAGGGCUUUGUUGUAAUUAUUACAACAUGUUAAUACCCCAAACACCCCUCCCUCUCUCUUUUCACAGCCAAACCCCUCCCUCUCUCAUUCCUCUCUUUCUCUCUCUAGAACUCUUGCUCUAGGGCAAGGAGAAGGUGGAGAAAAGCUUGGAGAGGUGGAUUUUGAAGGUUUUGGUAGUUCUAAAAGCUCUCCUACAAGAAGGAGCUUAGUAGAGCUUAGACAAAGGUGAGUUCUCUUGCAAAUAGAACUCUAGGGUUUGGUUUUAAACCUUAAAGUUUGGAGUUUCGAUCCUCUAAUGAGCUUAGAAACCCUCUAGAGCCUAGAACAUCAUGAAAACCAUGGUUUUCUUGAGGUGCUCUCAUGGUGAACACUUAGGGUUUAAAGUAGAUGCCCUAGGAAUGGUUCAAAUGGCUUAGUGAUGGCAUUAGAAUGCUUCCUAGUUGAUUCUAAGCUAUCAUUUGCUUAGGAAUGAGAUCAAUCUAGAAGAAAAUCCUAUAUGGCAUUGUUAAGGCAUGGAUUUUGGGGCUUUUGCCCUAGGUCGUUUUCAAGGUAAAUUGAUCUCUUGGAAACCUAAUUGGGGAUCAAACGAACAUGUUGGUGCACUUGGUUCGGUGAUCCGACGAGCCUAAGUAGUGAUAUUGGGUAAAAAGCCUAAUUUGGCUUUGUUAUGCCUCAAGUGAGAGAAUAGGACUUCAAAAAUUUCAAGAAAUUCACCGUAGCAUCCUUUCAACCAUCUAAGGUGGGUGGUGCUUUCCAAAGACGUUGAAUCUCCUUUUAUGUCUAAAGUGUCAUUUUUUAGCAUAAGUUGUAUAUUUAGCAUUUUGCAUGAUAGGGUUAAUUGAAAGCUUAUAAUUGCAUGUUGUGAGUACAAAUGCAUGAGAAAUGAUUGUUGGAACUUGUAUAACCCUAUGUAUGCAUGAGUACAAGAACCUAGAAAGGGAAUAGAACAAAAUGACAUUAUGACAUAUUGAUUGUGUGAUAUUUCUAAAUGCAAUGGAUACUAGAAAUAGACUCGUAGUAGAGUAGCAUUAGUGGAUGCAUUGAACACUUAGAGGACAAGUGUGACAUAAGUAAACAAGAACAAAGAACAAUGUAGUGUAUAUGACACUAGUAAAGGUUAGAGAAUGCAAGUAAAAAGAGAUAGUGACAUUGUGACAUGAAAACCUUAAAGUUAAGGGUCACGUGAGCAUUGGAAUCCUUAAAGAUAAGGAUUGAUCGUACUUGCCUAUGGUCUUGGCUUGAGGGAGGUCGCUCCCCCUCGGGCGAUGAGCUCCAGAGUUGUCAUCACUGGGAUGUGGAACCCCCAAAGGACGGUCCUAGCGGGAGGAGGCUUAGGGCCCGCGAUUAUAGACUUGGGUUGGUGAGUUAUGAAAUCCGGCGGGAUGAGGCUUUGGGCCCGACGGGUUAGCCACAAGAUUGAAUAGAGUAAAGCAAACUUGCAUUCAUCAUGAGCAUUUCAUUGAGCAUAUGAUUGACUAUAUAUAUCGUUCAGGCAUAUUAGCUGCAUUUGUUAGUUGGUUACUAUCUAUUCUUUCUUCUAUUAUGCCUGAUUUAGACCUAGUAGGAAAGUCGGCGUGGUUGGUUGCCGAAACCACUGGAAACUUGGUUGUAGUUCUCACCCCACUAUUUUCCACAGAGCUGGGACGAGCGAGCCGGCAGACGACCGCAGUAAGGGCAUCGCGCCCUAGAUGGAGACCACCCGAGAUGGUUUCAUAUUUUGUAGUUGCAUUCCCUUUACUAUCAUCUUUUGUACUUUGAUGAUUUUUAGUAUUAUGAACAUGUUAAAUGAAUGAUGUAAAAGAGUAGAUAUUUAAUGAAAAUGGUCAUAUUUUGGAGAACUUGAGAUGUAAAAAGAAAUGAUGCAAAGGAUGUAAAGAAUCUAAAUAUUUUAAAGAUAAAUGAUGCAAAGGAUGUAAAGAAUCUAAAUAUUUUAAAGAUGUAUGCGUGUAUAUGAUUUAAAGUUAAUCAUAGUACUUGUAUGGAGAGUAGAUAGUACUUUCACUUUGGCUACUGCUUGCCCUCGUGCAAGCCAUUAUGUAUGCUUCCGUAGGUGCAAAAUUUUACUCUAUUGAUACUUGUUAUUGAGCCUUUGGCGGACGGGGGAGGCUAUGUCCGUUCGGCGUCUGUUCGACGGGUCCGAACCGGACAAAUUGGAUCGGGUUCGGGGCGUGACAUGAACCUUAACUUUUGACCAUAUUUGUUUCAUUGAUGGUUGAUCGUGAAGCUAUAACUCUACCCUUGAUGACGAGAUGUUUGCGGAUUCCAAAGUUUUGUUCGUGGGGAAAAUGUAAUGUCGUUACUCUUUUUUCCUAAUUGAUCACUUGCUAUCGUUGACCGGGAGUAUCGAGGUACCUAUAAGAUUAGAAACCUAAUAAAAAUUGAGUAUGAUUCACUUUCUACCUUCUAUUAAUUUGAUUGUAUUUAGUGUAUCAUAUUAUUUCUUACUGCAUAUCUUUACGGGUUUGCUUGAUAAGUGGGAUUUUGAUAGAGUGCUUGAAACACAUGUUACAUAGAUUGUAUUCUUAUACUUUAUUCAUCAGCUCAUCUGAUCAAUAUAGUGCAUUUUUCUUCUGUAUCUAAACUCUGUUGUUUUUUGAACAAUUUGAUCACUAGCAACUCUCUUUCUCUUAGCGAACCAUUCUUUCUCAUAAUUGUUUAUUCUGAUUCUCUUUCUAAGCUAUAUUUUCAAACAAUUGUAGCCAGUUAGUUUCUCUCUCUCUUUCAGGGUUCUCUCAGUAUCACGGCCUUCGACCUAUUGUAGAAUUCAUGACAUCUAACGUCUUCACGUAGAUAUAUGGCUUUGUUUUGUAUAUGUAGUUUAAAAUAUAUAGUGCUAAUUUAUUAAACUUACUAAACUCAAGUUCACUAUAUAGGGGAUAGAGCUAUGUAUUUGACUGGUUGUAGAUCAGUUGAUUACAAAUUGGCUUUUAGUUCUUCGUUCAAAAUUAAGUAUAUAAUGUAGCUGUGUACAUUUAAUUGUGUUAGUUCUUUAUCUAUAUAUGAAUAAAUUAUAUGAAAAAAUUUAUACAACCUCUAGAUU